rnacentral:rRNA from 1 species
GGACUUAUCGUCUCGCGAUGACCAGAUGAUUAAUGAUCCUGGCUCAGAUUGCCCGCUGGCGUAAAUGCCUUACACAUGCAAGUCGAACGGCAGCACGGACUUCGGUCUGGUGGCGAGUGGCGAACGGGUGAGUAAUGUAUCGGAACGUGCCCAGUAGCUGGGGGAUAACUACGCGAAAGCUGUAGCUAAUACCUGCAUACGCCCUACGUGGGGAAAGCAGGGGAUCUGCAAGACCUUGCACUAUUGGAGCGGCCGAUAUCGGAUUAGCUAGUUGGUGGGGUAACGGCUCACCAAGGCGACGAUCCGUAGCUGGUUUGAGAGGACGACCAGCCACACUGGGACUGAGACACGGCCCAGACUCCUACGUGGAGUGCAGCANGUGGGGAAUUUUGGACAAUGGGGGAAACCCUGAUCCAGCCAUCCCGCGUGUGCGAUGAAGGCCUUCGGGUUGUAAAGCACUUUUGCGCAGGAAAGAAACGUCAUGGGUUAAUACCCCGUGAAACUUGACGGUACCUGCAGAACAAGCACCGGUNCUAACUACGUGCCAGGCAGGCCGCGGGUAAUUACGUAGGGUGCCAANGCGUUAUCGGGAAUUUAACUGGGGCCGUAAAAGCGUAGCGCAGGCGGUCUCCGGGAACGAAACGCAUGUGAAAUCCCAGAAGCUUACCUUUGGAACCUGCGUU